AAGGGAAAAUUUUUUCUCCCCGGUUUUAGUUCAGUGUUCUAUAAUAUCAUAGCAACCUGCCUGCUAUUUCGAAACUUUGUUGACAUUGUUGUGGCAAAAGUCGAGAGUUCGCUCGAAUAUUCCAGUGAGCCGUUUAUUUAGGUUCCUGCCAAAUUUCUGUUCAGGAAGUCACUUAUCCGAAUGUCGUGGUCGGAAAAGCAAGCAACAGUAAUAGUUACCGUUCCAAUUGCUGCUAAUGAAUCCGUGAGCCGUGUAUGCAGAUCAUGCAGAUAGAAACCACUGCCGCCUCUUUAAAAUUUUCCAAGGGACAAACUCCUCGACGGUGUGCUUACCUCCAACAAGAGUAAUUUGGUUCAGCGCCGUAGCCAGAGGGUGACUUCCAGGCUGCCCCCCUCGUGCCUGCAAGCAUCAUACGAAUGCGAAACCCUUGUCAUUCGUCGGCUCGAGAGUGUGCCCAAUACAUGAGCCAGCUGAAGUCCUUCCCGGCGAGCUCACCAGCAGAGACUUGGACCAGGAGUGUGGCUCUAGGUGCAAGAGCACCACGUGGAGGACAAGAACCCAACUAGGAGAAAUCGGCACGCAGCAAAGCUCAUAUCGAGACACCUACUGGGAAUCGGUCCAUCGCAACGCUACGGGCACGACGCCAAGGAAAACAUAACCGAGCACCGCCAGCGGAGUGGGACAUGCAUUUCAACCAGCGCAUUCGGUGUCAGGGGACAAGCUUGGGACUGGAAUGGAAGCCAAGGCCGUCGAGCGAACUCGGAACACGUCGAAGAACAGUUGCAAUUUGAAAGGUCACGCACGCAUACAUACGAAACUCAACCCAUCCUCAAGGUCAACCAGACCAGAAGUGGCCACCAGGACGAGGUUCUCGGGCUGCCACUGACGAGAUCAAAUCUAAAAAGAACGCCCCCACACGGAAUGGGGGUGUUUUGUAGGUAUACAGCUCGAUCCUCGUACAGGUUGGUCGAUCAGCGGUCGUUGUGAGGACUCAAAGCGACAUUGCGCUCCGCACGAACGCAAUUAGGACCGCGCGCGAGACGUGUGGCGUGGUAAAGCAGCGCGCUAGUGUGAGGCGGACGAACCACGCAUCAGGCAGGCGUGAAAGCGCAGUGUGCGAACGCGAGGCGGAUGGUGUGUGCGUCAUGGAGACGCAACGCGCGAACGCAGGAACGUGUGUGCGUCAAUUGGGCGUGGGAAAGCAGUGCGCUAGCGUGAGGCGAUCGGAGUACGCGUCGCGAUGGCGUGGAAAAGCAGUGCGCGAACGCUGGGCGAACGGUACGAGGGCGCAGGAACGCGGUACCCGAACGCAAGGCGGGUCGAGAGCGGGUGUGGUGUGAGCAUGACGUGGAUGUGCGGCAGGGUAGCAGAAGCGAGUGUGGUCUGGGUAGCGAAAGGAUGGGUUGGGAGAAAUGUGUUGUCCAUUAGAAUAAGGAAGCAGGGAUUAAAGUUUGGCAGGAGAAACUAUAAUACGUAAAUUACUCGAAUAAACCAUGGCAAUUGAGUUUACACGCACACAACCAUUUUGAGUAAUUUUGGCUUGCUAGUCGGGAGCGUCGGGGAUUUCGCUCGGCUGAAGGGAUCCUCCUCAACACUGACGCAAUUUUGUGCUCCCCCUUUCCCCCAACCGAAAUCCUAGCUCCACUCCAAGCCCGGUUCAUCAGGCACCAAGUAGUGUCCCACUGCGAUCGAAGCCCAAGAAGUAUAUAAUUACUGACUGCAGGCACGCGGAAACACGUCACCAACCUUAAACGCUAGCAAGAAGUGCGGUUUACGGAAAUGGAACGAACCAGAGUGUUAAAAAAGGAUCUGUACAUUUAACACUAACGAACAACAAGUCGCCCUUCAAUAACAGUACUCUGCGGCAGUCUUUGUCG